CAAAUUUUUUCCUUUUUACAUUUAGUCUACUAGAAAUGAAGACAUCUUUUACCCUCCCCCUUCUAUGAAAAAUCAUCCACAUAUCCCUUUCAUUAUGAUCUGCUGUAAAAUUAGAGAAGAAGAAGCUAACCUCCAUAAUCGUCGCCUGCUGAUGGUGGUGGUCCUUUUCGUGUGAGACAGUUGGGCAUGAAAAUAUUCUAUAUUUCUUGUCAACCUUAAACUAUUGUACUGAUCGGUAGCUAAAGAUGUGAGGUUUUUGUUAGAAUAGAUGGCUUAAACAAGAGGGGGAUGAAUUUUUUGUCAAAGAUUUUCGCAAAACUUGAUUAAGAAUGAACCUUUAUCAAACAAACACAGAUAAGCACUUAAGGAAAGCAAUCAAACAAUGAUACAAAAACUGUUUUCAGAAUUUUAACCAAUUGAAAUUGUGUUUUAAUCGGUUAUUUAUACCAGCAGCAAAAACAAACACAAACAUUUAUAAGGAGUUAGAGAAAGAGAUAUUUACACAACAAUUUUAUACUAGUUCAUUCAACCUUAAGCUACAUCCAGUUCUCAGAACAACCUCUGAUUUCCACUAGUAAUCAAAUCUAGAUUACACAAAUACACCACAAAGAGGUGACCUUGAAAACCACAAGAUCCACUCACCCUCUUUGCAACACUGCACACCUCAAGUCAGAACACCUUCUUACUUUGCAGGAUUUCACACACUUACAGUUGUAAUGAAAGAACAAUUACAAGAACUUUGAAAGGGAUAGAAAACACCUAAGAUUUAUACAAAACAGGAAGCCAUAUGAUUAGAUCUUGUACCAAUGCAAAGCUUUAACAAAAAUCUUGCAAAACCUUUGAAAAGUUCUUUCAAAAACAAAUCUCAAUCUCUAUUUCAAACUCUGUAAAACUUGUUAUUUUGUUUUGAAAGAAAGGCUAUAUUUAUAGCACUUGAAAUCUAGCCGUUUAAGGCAGCAUUAAUGAGCUAAAACAGUUUUGAUCACAUUCAAAACAGUUAAAACAGGUUUUCAAAAAACUGUUAUGAAAACACACAUUUAACCGGUUUAAUGGGUUAGGUAGUUACAUAACCAAUUCAAAAAAUAGUUUCAAAACCUUUAAGUCAGCUAAGUGACAAACAACCGAUUAUAUCGAUAAAUCAACCGAUUGUUUUUUCUUUGCUUGGAAAAACACUUUGUUUAUUUAAAACAAAUUGAUUAAGCUUUGUACAAGGAUUAAAAACUGAUCUUAACAUAGAUUUUAAACAUCCUAAUCUAAACCCAAACAAAAAGCAGCACAACUUCAAACUUGAACUUGGAUUUGAAACAUCAAAGCUCCCAUGCUCAACAAUUUUGAUGUUGAUCUAUCAUAGAGUUCCCCAACUAUAACCAAGUACAUAGUUGAUGAAUGGGAGUUUAAGUUAUUGCACAUGUUCAACAACUAGCAACAUACAACAUAUAUAACUUAGUUUAUAUAUGUCAGCAUGAUAUAAUAGACUUUAGAUAUGUGUUAUGACAUAUUAAUAUCCCUACCUAUCUUGAGUCUUCCUAACCUAGAAUGAAUUAACUAUUAUUAUUGUAGUCAGUCUUCCCUACACACAAUGUUUUUAGGUAUAAAACAAGACAUUGUCAUCAAUUUGAAUAUGAGAAAUAGCCUAUGUUAUAUGUGUUCUAACCAUAACCACACAUCUAACUAUGACAUACUCCAUAGCAAAAAUAUUUAUAUAAUAAAUAUAUUUUUCUAAAAUAAAACAAGUAUUUAUUAUAAUAAUUUUAAACAAAUUCAAAAGUUGAGUCAUCGAUAUCUUCCAAUUUAAUUUUUAGAAAAGACCAUAAUAAUGUCUAGAGUUUUUUUUUUCUUGUCGUUAACAUAUUUUUUGGUAGUCAUAAUAGUGAUUAGGAAAUUUCUUGAUGAAUAAAACAAAACGAAAAGGACCCCUAAAUGGGAAAACAAAGAGCUAGUUGGAUAAUGUAGAUGGCUAUGGUUUUGUCCAAAUCCAAUUGUAUCCUUUCUAGUGGGGUCUUUUGAUUAUGAUUUUGUUUGGAGUCAAGACAAAAGGUAAGAAUAAGAUUAUGAUCAAAUCAUCACUUACGCCACCAUUUAAAUCAACCCAAUUCAAAUGACUACUCCAAUGGAAAUUUACUUAGUGGAAAAUAAUAGUAAUAGUUGGUAUAUGAGAAACCACCAAUUUGGUUUCCUUCUAUGAUGCUUCUCAUACGUCACCACAUAGAUUGCAAGAUACAAAAAGUCUUGAUAAAGUUUAAUGUGAAUCAAUUAUAUCAUUUAUCAUUAUUUGGAGAGCAAAAAAAGUCAAAAACAUACGAAAACAAGUCACCAUGGAUUAAUUAGGUCCACGACUAUGUUAUUCUCAAACCUUCUACAAUUCAUAUGAGUCGGUUAUAUAAUCAUUUGAAUAGAACGUUCUAAAUUUACAAUUUAAUAUUAUGUAGUUAAUAAAUUU
rnacentral:lncRNA from 1 species